UACAGAGGUCUCAAGCGUUGUUCGGAUUCAUUGGGCGUAAAGGGUGCGUAGGCGGCGCGGUAAGUCGGGUGUGAAAUCUCGGAGCUUAACUCCGAAACUGCAUUCGAUACUGCCGUGCUUGAGGACUGGAGAGGAGACUGGAAUUUACGGUGUAGCGGUGAAAUGCGUAGAUAUCGGAAGGAACAUCAGUGGCGAAAGCGACUUCCUGGACCAAUACUGACGCUCAUGUGCGAAAGCGUGGGGAGCAAACAGGG
rnacentral:rRNA from 1 species